GAGUGCUCGUAGAGGACGCGGUGUCUGGGUUCUAAAGGCAAAAACAGCCCCUGGCACCCAGGCCUUUGGCCACCUCCCUCGUUCCGCCGAGAGGGACGGAGGAUGCAGUGCUGUGCUCUGGAGCUGGGGGACCGGAGGACCACUCUCCCGGGCGGGGCCGGGGUGCCUGAUUCCCCUCUCACUCCUUCUUACUUUAGGGAACUGGACGGCGUCGCUUCCAACACACCCCCGCCCCCCCGGCGCAGGUUCCAGAAGGCGGGCUGGGUGGGUCUCCAGGUUUCCAGAGAGCGAGUGGCGUAGCAGGGAGAAAAAUCAAGACCACCCUCCACCCCGUUUUAAAUAUCUGAUUCAGCUCGAAGCUAGGCUGAAGGCACCACCAAGCCUCCCUGGAAGGGAACUUCUGCUCAGUUCUUGGACUGAGGGAUGGAAUAGGAUUUUACUUCACUUGUUUUCAGGGACUCUUAACUGGUGAAAAGAGUUGGGAUAUUUUAUCAUCUGGAGUUUCUCUGCCUCGCUGAUGAUCUAAGCUCAAACCUGCCAGUUUAUGGGAGAUGAUAGAAAACACCCUCUAACAUCUGACAAAUCCUUUAUUCGACAAAGAUUUAUGGAACACUCAUCUUUGUCAAGCACACCAAAGAUAAGACAUACCUACAAGGAUAAAAGAAGCAUGGAAUUGAGGGUGGGGGCCUGAUGAUAUGUAACCUGCCUCCUUGGAAGGAGGGGCGUUCAGAGAGAGGUUGGGGAAGCUUUGGAGCAGGGAACUUGGAAAGCUGAGAUUUGGAGGAUGAACAGGACUUGGCUGUUAGCCAGGUUGUUGGGUGUGGGGCGGGGGAGUUGCGAGGACCUUAAAGCUGUGGCAUUGGGUUUAAAGAAGAGAGAAUAGGGUCAAGAGAUGCAGUGAGUCCGAGUGACUUGACUUUGUGACUGGCAGAAUUUGAAGAAUGUAGGAGAAAAAGACAUCAAGGAUUAGUUCAACUUUGCCCUUGGCCAUCUCAACAAGUGGUGAUACCAUUCACACCGGGUGAGAAUACAAGACACCCAGGAGGUUUGUUUGUUUUGAUCGUUGCUUUGGGAAACCAAUAAUUCACUCUAGAGGUUUUAUCAGAGGAGUGCAGCUAUUUGCAUACACCUGACUGAACUUUAAAGAUGCCCCUCUGUGACCCAUCAUCCCCUGGGUGAACACACAUGGAGCAUUAGGGAGGAAAGUGAAAACUGACGUGGUCUUGGGGGUGUCUGUGUUUGUUCAUUAUCUCGGGCUUUAGUGGAUCUCAUGUUUACAGGUAAAAUCACUGUUGAAAACUUCAGGGCAAUUACAGAGAGGAAUAAUGCUUGGACAUGAAAACCUAUCAUGUUUAAGAAUUUAGUAAUUCCUUUUUAUUACUUUUAUCUACUUGACCUCUUGUCUCCACAUUUUUAUCAUAUAUAAAGUACAUUCUUUAUACUUCUUUGGUCCAAAGAAGAUUAAAAGGGUAAAUUUUAGAAAAGACUGCUCCAUCCUUUAUAUGUAUUAGCUCAUUUAACUUUUAAAAUAACCCUGUAAAGGAGGUACUUUUAAUCCUAUUAAUUCUUGAUAAAGAUUAAUAAUAAAAGUAUUUGGAAAUCAACGGGUUUAAAAUUUUUUGAUAUGCCUAAACACAAAGCAUAAAUUCUUAUUCCUAUCCAUUGACAUUAGCAUGUAAAUGAGGAUGACAAAUUAUUAUUUUCGAAAUUCUAAUCAUUUCUACCUUGUCCUUUUGAAAGAAGUACACUGGUAACAAAUAGAUCCACGAUACACAAAAUAAUACUCUAUACUUUUUGAGAAUAUUGAAAACUAAUUUGGAAAAUAACUCCUCUUCUUUCUGAAAAUUUUUGCCCACUCUGCACUUUCCUGUCUUUUUAAAUCAUGAAUAUAUUACAUUAAGCCAAAGAUACUAUGUAAACGGUUGCUUUGAAACUACAUAAAACAGAAGUUAAAAUUAGGUUUUACUUACUGCUUCCAACUUAUCUUUUAAUAAUAUGUGGUCAGAUCCUGCUUUAAAUGUACUCUUGGUUGAGGUACCUUGAGGAAGUAAGUUGCUUGACCUCAGUUAGGCUGUUUCCUUGUCUAUAAAAACACAGGCAAUGAAGUACAUGCUCCAGUGCUCUGAAACUCAGAAAUAACUUCUUGGGCAUGAGUGCCAAUGUAAGCAGGCAGUUUUCUUUUGUGCCACAAGAGGGCGUGCCUGUGUUGUUGCUAACCGGAGCUGAGGCCUGAAUUCCUUUGCAAGAUGUGGCUGAAAAGUUAGGGACAAGUAGAUUGCUGGGAAAAUGUGAAAGAAAAAGAUUAUUUUGACAGUGUCAAGGGAAAGAGGUACUCGAAACAUAAAGUGAUGUGAAGGGAAGGAGUGUGAAUAAGAUCCCUUUAAGAUGUGAAAAUUUUCGCGACAUAGAUCAUUACAGAUUUCCAUUGCCAGUCAACAACCUUUUUUUUUUUGCCUAUAUCUGAGAAGUUUUAUGAAUUUUGUUUUCCUCCUUCUUUGCAAAUGUGUUUAUAAAUCAGUUAUAUCAAACAAAUAUAGAACCCAAAGUUUAGUUUCUUAGUAGUGGUCUUGAGUGAUUAAUGUUGGUUAAAGUUAAGUUGGAUUGUUUGUUCUCAGUGCCUUGGAUAUGUACAAAAUCUGUUUGCCCCAAAUUAGGAAAAUUUGAAUGUUUUCUUCCUGCCUCCCUCCAUGCACUUUUUCCCCUUUGUUUGAGUUUCUGAGUUCUUUGAUGUUUUGCUGUCAUACAUAGCUCAGAAAGUUGGGUGGGGGACAAGGAAGAACAUUGUUCUGUGAACCAACCCUAGGGACGUGGAACUAAUUUUAAUAUACAGUGAAAUCUUUACAAUUGACAAGAUCAGAGCUGUACAAAUACAGUGACACUGGCAGUUGUGGAAUUAUUCUGAUAAAUUUAGCGAAAUCAUUUCAUCUCAGCUAUGUGACUGUUUCAUGUGAAUGUGUUCUUUAAUUUAAAUUAUCCAGGCAACGCCUUUAUUUUGCUAGUAUUUUUUAUUAUAAAUACAAAAGUCAUGAGCAUGUUGUGUUUUACAUAACUGUAAUUGUACUUUUAACACUUUUUGUAUUGGAAAAUGUUCUGAAUUUAGAAAGAAUGAUCCAUAGGCAUCUCCUUUUACUCUGAAUCCUACUUUUAGAAGUUUUCUCUGGGGUUUGUUCCUGGUAAUAAACGCUAUCCAAGUUCAGAGGCAGACUGCCCAGGUUCAAAUUAUCGCGCUGCUGUGUUUGAAAUGUGACAAAAGCAAAGUUAGCCUAAUAAUUUCUCUCUCGUUUGAAUCUGAUAGUUUCUUGAGCAGGAGAAAGAGAAGUGGAAACACUGUAGAAAAUUAUGCACUUUAUCUGUGUGGCAGCCAAUUUCAAACCAUCUUCCUGGUACACUCUAAGGAGUUAAAAACAUGUUAAAUACUUUGAGAUGGCAACAUUUUAAAGAGAAAGAAUAUAAAAGAAAAAAGAACUCUGUAGCUCCGUUUUCUUUGCUUUCACCAUGAAAUGUGAUCUUGUUUCAAAAUAUGGGAACACCCUGUGAUAAA